AAAUCCGGUUGAUCCUGCCGGAGGCUACCGCUAUUGGAGUUCGAUUAAGCCAUGCGAGUCGUGAGUCUUAGGGACUCGGCGUACCGCUCAGUAACACGUGGGUAACCUGCCCUAUGCUGGGGAAUAACCUCGGGAAACUGAGAACAAUGCCCCAUAGUUCACCACGCCUGGAACGGUGGGUGGAUCAAAGCCCCGGCGGCAUAGGAUGGGCCUGCGGCGUAUCAGGUUGUAGGGGGUGUAAAGUACCCUCUAGCCCUCUACGCGUACGGGUGUUGGGAGACAUAGCCCGGAGAUGGAUUCUGAGACACGAAUCCAGACCCUACGGGGUGCAGCAGGCGCGAAAACUUGGCAAUGCGAGCAAUCGUGACCAGGGAACUCCAAGUGCAUCGGGUAAGACCGAUGCUUUUCUUGACUCUUCAAAGGUCUUGGAAUAAGGGGUGGGUAAGGACGGUGCCAGCCGCCGCGGUAAUACCGGCGCCUCAAGUGGUAGUCGCUUUUAUUGGGCCUAAAACGUCCGUAGCCGGUUUGGUACAUUCGUGGGUAAAUCAAGGUGCUCAACGCCUUGAAUUCUGCGAGCACGGCCAGACUUGGGACCGGGAGAGGUGUGGGGUACUCUCAGGGUAGGGGUAAAAUCCUGUCAUCCUGAGGGGACCACCUGUUGCGAAGGCGCCACACUAGAACGGAUCCGACGGUCAGGGACGAAGCCUAGGGGCACGAACCGGAUUAGAUACCCGGGUA
rnacentral:rRNA from 1 species